AUUUAAGUAGUUUAAAUAAAAAUAUUGAUUUGUGGUGUCAAAGAAGUAUAUAUUACCUUAGAUU
rnacentral:tRNA from 1 species